rnacentral:rRNA from 1 species
CCUACGGGAGGCAGCAGUGAGGAAUAUUGGUCAAUGGACGAGAGUCUGAACCAGCCAAGUAGCGUGAAGGAUGACUGCCCUAUGGGUUGUAAACUUCUUUUAUAAAGGAAUAAAACGAGGCACGUGUGCCUUUUUGCAUGUACUUUAUGAAUAAGGAUCGGCUAACUCCAUGCCAGCAGCCGCGGUAAUACGGAGGAUCCGAGCGUUAUCCGGAUUUAUUGGGUUUAAAGGGAGCGUAGAUGGGUUGUUAAGUCAGUUGUGAAAGUUUGCGGCUCAACCGUAAAAUUGCAAUUGAUACUGGCAGUCGUGAGUACAGUUGAGGUAGGCGGAAUUCGUGGCGUAGCGGUGAAAUGCUUAGAUAUCACGAAGAACCCCGAUUGCGAAGGCAGCUUACUAAACUGUGACUGACAUUGAUGCUCGAAAGUGUGGGUAUCAAACAGGAUUAGAUACCCGGGUAGUC